AUUUUAUCCUUAGUUUUAAUCAAUAACGAAACAUUCGGUUUUAACCAAACCAAAUAAUUUAUAGCUUACAGUUUUUCCCCACAAGGCCACAACCAAGUAAAACCAUGAUUCCCUAAGAGCAUCUACAUUGCACAACAUAAGGAAAUGUCUUUAAUUACAAAUAAAAUAAAAGAAAAAAUAAGAACCAAUGACAUUGUGCCACAUAAGUUAAGAUGUCUCAAAACAAAUGUCUUUGAUGUCUCCCAAGAGACACAAUUCUCUUUUCUGCAUUAAUUUAAAGACAUUUACCUUUUUAUUUUAUUCAUUAAAAUCUAAAGACACUCACAAUUUGUUAUGCAAUAGAGGUGGCAUAAGGCUUUAUGGGUUAUGUUAUGUAUUCUUAUUGUAUUUUUGUUAUAUUUUU
rnacentral:sRNA from 1 species